GUUUGGCCAAUGGAUGAAUUAAUCUUCUCACACGUCCCAUUUCUCAAAGAUUGUCCAAGUUCAAGGUCACCCGUGACAGAAAGAUGAGGUUUGGAUUAUGGACCAGCACUAAUUCUUCUCCCUGGGGCUACUUCUCUAAUUGGGAUUUUUCAUUGAAAUGUUGUUUUCAACCUGCAAAAACUUGCUAGUUCCAAUCUGGUUUAUGUAAACUGGAGCUUCAUUUGAUUAUUCUGGAGCUUGAAGGUUUGAUGCUCAGUGAUUUUUCAAUUCGAUUGGGCAAAUUGAAGCAAUUCUGUUAGAAGAUCACUCUUACGAAAAGAAAGAAAAGUUCAAUUUUUUUUCUUCUCCGGAAUUUCCAUUUCAAUUGAUCGCAAGACCACAAAAUUUUCUGGAAUUUCCGAGGGACUCACCAACUCCUACUUCUUCGAGCUCCACACAUCUCGUGUGCCAUCAAUGGUUGGAGCUCUCCCCAGAGUUCUAGUUCCUCCAUUAUGGAUGUACUGUGCAAAGCUAACCAUCUUGCUCCACAAACUCCUAAUGCUCGGAGUAGUAAUGUUGCCUUGGCUUGCUUGAACGUGAUUCCAAUAAUUCUUUAGUAUGUGAAUUAGGAAAAACAUAAAACAGAUGAUGGAAGUGAUGCCGGAGAUGAGGUAUAGACCCCAGAAGCUUUGGAGGUUCAAGCUAUCUACUUUGUGGCAGAAUCGGCAUUUGAAUAAUUAUUGGAGGACACCUUAGACCACUUUUCUCGUAUUUUUUUUUAGAUCACCUGUUCUCUGAUAUGGUUAGAAUGGUGUAGACACCUCAUUUUUUACGGCCCUUACAACUUGGACAUUAUCGCCUGCACACCCAAUUAUGAGUCUAUAUGCUUGUCAAGUGCUUGAAGUCCUCAGCGGAAUGCUACAGCUUUGAGCCUUUCAAACCUUGCACCCUUGUUGCCCUGUUUUGGACCAAACCCAGUGAUCUUCAAGCCUACAACCUUUGGUGGCCUGCCGGCCACCUUUAGGGGCUGCCGGCCAUCACUCUUGGUUGCCGGCCACUAGUGAUGGCCGACCGGCCACAAAUGUCUUUUGUAGAUAUUUUGUGACAGUUGUGCUAGCUGUUUUCACAGAUGCUUGCAUUUGCUCCCACGCGUAUGGUUGGAUGUUCUUGAGGGAAAUUCAUGUUUUCUAUAUAUAGAGAGCUUCCCCUUUUGCCAUGGGGUUAGAAAAAUUUUGGAGCAAAAUUUUUCCUCUCUCUCUCUCUCUCUCUACAAUUCUUUUUCCCUACCAAAUUUCUUAGUCUUUGCCUAUAUACUCUUCACCUUUGCCUAUACACUCUUAACCAAAUCUCUCUAUCUUCAAGUUGAGGUGUCAUUGAGCCUUGUUUGAGCUCUUGAGGGUGUGUUUGCUUGGUUUUAUUGCUUGGAAUUGAUUUCCUCUUCAAAAGGUAUAAAGCAUUGCCUCUUUACUUGCUUUAUCUACUCUUUUUCUUGCA